AAUAGAUACCCAGGUAGUCCACGCCGUAAACGAUGAGUGCUAAGUGUUAGGGGGUUUCCGCCCCUUAGUGCUGCAGCUAACGCAUUAAGCACUCCGCCUGGGGAGUACGGUCGCAAGACUGAAACUCAAAGGAAUUGACGGGGGCCCGCACAAGCGGUGGAGCAUGUGGUUUAAUUCGAAGCAACGCGAAGAACCUUACCAGGUCUUGACAUCCCAUUGACCACUAUGGAGACAUAGUUUUCCCUUCGGGGACAACGGUGACAGGUGGUGCAUGGUUGUCGUCAGCUCGUGUCGUGAGAUGUUGGGUUAAGUCCCGCAACGAGCGCAACCCUUGUUCUUAGUUGCCAUCAUUUAGUUGGGCACUCUAAGGAGACUGCCGGUGACAAACCGGAGGAAGGUGGGGAUGACGUCAAAUCAUCAUGCCCCUUAUGACCUGGGCUACACACGUGCUACAAUGGACGGUACAAACGGUUGCCAACCCGCGAGGGGGAGCUAAUCCGAUAAAACCGUUCUCAGUUCGGAUUGUAGGCUGCAACUCGCCUACAUGAACG
rnacentral:rRNA from 1 species